ensembl:lncRNA
GGGGGCUUGUGGAAUAGGGAGAGAUCCUCAUUACUGCUGAGUAGGUGUGGAAUCCAGCUCCCCACAAGACCUUGACUGAUAGCCCAGGGGUAGAGCCUCAUUAUCAGCCAGUGGGGAUGAAAAUCCUGGCUCCCUGCUGGUGUUCUUUGACACCACUUCUGCAGGAUUAAACGGUGCCUUCUGAUGGACUGGCAGAAUGGAAGUCGAGGCUCCAUAGUUAAGUUUGGGCUUCUCUGCCUUGCCCAUUCCCUGCCUCAGCUCACCCAAGGCCAUCUGAAGCAGUGUGUUUCCUGUUGCUCUGGCUUUCAUUCCCUCAAGUACAAGAAGCUACUGGGAGCUGUAAAUGCCUCCAUUAAAAAAGGAGAACAAUGUCAGAUCAAUAACAUUUACUUCAUACUUUUAGUGGUGCAUAACUCUUCACAUAACCCUACAUGGUAGAAU